rnacentral:rRNA from 1 species
UACGGAAGGGGCAAGCGUUGUUCGGAAUCACUGGGCGUAAAGCGCACGUAGGCGGCUUCUUAAGUCAGGGGUGAAAUCCUGGAGCUCAACUCCAGAACUGCCUUUGAUACUGAGUAGCUUGAGUCCGGGAGAGGUGAGUGGAACUGCGAGUGUAGAGGUGAAAUUCGUAGAUAUUCGCAAGAACACCAGUGGCGAAGGCGGCUCACUGGCCCGGUACUGACGCUGAGGAGCGAAAGCGUGGGGAGCGAACAGG